rnacentral:rRNA from 1 species
UACGGAGGGUGCAAGCGUUAUCCGGAUUUACUGGGUUUAAAGGGUGCGUAGGUGGGUAAGUAAGUCAGUGGUGAAAUCUUCGAGCUUAACUCGGAAACUGCCAUUGAUACUGUUUAUCUUGAAUACUUUGGAGGUAAGCGGAAUAUGUCAUGUAGCGGUGAAAUGCUUAGAUAUGACAUAGAACACCAAUUGCGAAGGCAGCUUACUACACAGUUAUUGACACUGAGGCACGAAAGCGUGGGGAUCAAACAGG